AGCGAACGCUGGCGGAAUGCUUUACACAUGCAAGUCGAGCGGCAGCACGGGGGCAACCCUGGUGGCGAGCGGCGAACGGGUGAGUAAUACAUCGGAACAUGCCCAGGCGUGGGGGAUAACACUUCGAAAGAAGUGCUAAUACCGCAUACGUCCUGAGGGAGAAAGCGGGGGAUCUUCGGACCUCGCGCGAUUGGAGUGGCCGAUGUCAGAUUAGCUAGUUGGUGGGGUAAAGGCCUACCAAGGCAACGAUCUGUAGCUGGUCUGAGAGGAUGAUCAGCCACACUGGGACUGAGACACGGCCCAGACUCCUACGGGAGGCAGCAGUGGGGAAUUUUGGACAAUGGGGGCAACCCUGAUCCAGCCAUUCCGCGUGAGUGAAGAAGGCCUUCGGGUUGUAAAGCUCUUUCGGCAGGAACGAAACGGCGAGCUCUAACAUAGCUUGCUAAUGACGGUACCUGAAGAAGAAGCACCGGCUAACUACGUGCCAGCCGCCGCAGUAACAC
rnacentral:rRNA from 1 species